UAUAAUCAGAAAUCACCAUCUGCAUCGGAAAAAAUGAAAAACAUUAGAGAGGGAACUGCGGCCCGCCUUUGGCCAGGACAUCAGUGUUUACCUCAUUUCCUGCUUAGUGCAAUGUUGGCUCAAACAGACCUUCAAGGAGCCGAGAAGUUCCUAAAACACAUGCGAAUGACCAAACACCUCCUUGCUUUGGCAAGCUCAUGCUAAUCCAGUCCAGACGACAAGAAAUUUUUAUGGACUGAAUUUCUGGCUGUAAUACGAGUCACAUUCCCUUUCCGGGGGCAGCUUGCUUGAACAUCGGGUAUAAAUGUGGACGUCAGCAGGCAAUGGCUGCUUCCACACUACCAGUGGAUGCCAUUCUGUGCCUGAGGUGAUUUGCGAAAUCCACCUGGGUUUGCGAAAGUACCCGGUUGAUGACCGUUUUUGGGAUCCAACCCUGGAGAACAGGGACAAACCAGACAUUAGAACACUUAUUUGGAAGUAUAAUGUGAUACUACAUUGAGAGCAUUCCAGGGUGCUGAGUGGACAUCCCAGCCAGGAAGCAUGUAGAUCCCCUCCGCUUGGCACAGCGGACACUUACAAAAUCUCGUGGACCCACCACAUUUCCAGGUGUUUCACCUGAAAUCUCAUGUGUGAUCAUAGUAUCUUG